rnacentral:lncRNA from 1 species
CUAGCUUACACUCUGUCGCUACACCAAAUCUUUCUAUUAGGGGAUAUGAGGAUAUAACUGAGGAUGACAUCCGCAUUCAAAGUCAUGAGAUACUUGAAAAUGAAGACAUGCAAGACAUGCUUCGAAUGUUCAGUAUGGGUGGUCAUGGUUCCUCGUCCUUUAAUAUCACUGACAAUAAUUUCACAUUCACACCAUACACGCCUUUUAACUUAGAUUUCCAAGAGGAUCGUAGACGUUCAUCUGGUAAGGCUGUUGUUGGGUGGCUCAAACUUAAAGCAGCUCUAAGAU